rnacentral:rRNA from 1 species
GACGAACGCUGGCGGCGUGCUUAACACAUGCAAGUCGAGCGGUAAGGCCCUUUCGGGGGUACGACGAGCGGCGAACGGGUAGAGUAACACGUGGGUGACCUGCCCUCCAGCUCUGGGAGUAAGCCUCGGGAAACCGGGGUACUAAUAACUGGAUAUGACUCCAUGACGCAUGUUGUGGGGUGGAAAGCCUUGUGCGGCUGAGGAUGGG